rnacentral:lncRNA from 1 species
CCAACAUUUCUAUAAGCCAUCACCUUCGAAUAGGCUUUAAAUCAAUGCCUUAAUAUGGCACGGCAACAACUUGACCUAAAAAUAUAAGAAUUGGACUUAUGAUAUCUCUUCAUAAAAUUUAUGACAUUCCUUUAAAAAAUUAUGAUACCCCGAAACAAAAUAGAAAACCGUCAGUUUUGACCUUGAAUAUCAGGAUUUUUUCACUAUCCAUUGGCUAAAAUAUGACACCUAGAGUGUAAUAAUACGACUUUGAGAUAAUUUGAGCUAAAAAUAUGAGA